rnacentral:rRNA from 1 species
AUUGAACGCUGGCGGCAUGCUUUACACAUGCAAGUCGAACGGUAACAGGUUAAGCUGACGAGUGGCGAACGGGUGAGUAAUGCAUCGGAACGUGCCCGGUCGUGGGGGAUAACACUUCGAAAGAAGUGCUAAUACCGCAUACGAUCUGAGGAUGAAAGCGGGGGACCGUAAGGCCUCGCGCGAUCGGAGCGGCCGAUGUCAGAUUAGGUAGUUGGUGGGGUAAAGGCCCACCAAGCCGACGAUCUGUAGCUGGUCUGAGAGGACGACCAGCCACACUGGGACUGAGACACGGCCCAGACUCCUACGGGAGGCAGCAGUGGGGAAUUUUGGACAAUGGGCGCAAGCCUGAUCCAGCAAUGCCGCGUGCAGGAAGAAGGCCUUCGGGUUGUAAACUGCUUUUGUACGGAGCGAAAAGGCUCUCUCUAAUACAGGGGGCUGAUGACGGUACCGUAAGAAUAAGCACCGGCUAACUACGUGCCAGCCGCCGCCGUAA